GUGCUCACUGAAUCUGCCCCCUGAGUGUGUCCCUUAUGGAUCUGAGGAGUUGUAAUCUGGAUAGUCCCACUUUGACCACUGGUUAUACUGGCACUUGGAUCUCUAAGGAUGGUGCGGGGUCUCAGGGAAUCAACAGGG